UUAAGCGACUAAGCGUACACGGUGGAUGCCCUGGCAGUCAGAGGCGAUGAAGGACGUGCUAAUCUGCGAUAAGCGUCGGUAAGGUGAUAUGAACCGUUAUAACCGGCGAUUUCCGAAUGGGGAAACCCAGUGUGUUUCGACACACUAUCAUUAACUGAAUCCAUAGGUUAAUGAGGCGAACCGGGGGAACUGAAACAUCUAAGUACCCCGAGGAAAAGAAAUCAACCGAGAUUCCCCCAGUAGCGGCGAGCGAACGGGGAGCAGCCCAGAGUCUGAAUCAGUGUGUGUGUUAGUGGAAGCGUCUGGAAAGGCGCGCGAUACAGGGUGACAGCCCCGUACACAAAAAUGCACAUACUGUGAGCUCGAUGAGUAGGGCGGGACACGUGGUAUCCUGUCUGAAUAUGGGGGGACCAUCCUCCAAGGCUAAAUACUCCUGACUGACCGAUAGUGAACCAGUACCGUGAGGGAAAGGCGAAAAGAACCCCGGCGAGGGGAGUGAAAAAGAACCUGAAACCGUGUACGUACAAGCAGUGGGAGCCUCUUUUAUGGGGUGACUGCGUACCUUUUGUAUAAUGGGUCAGCGACUUAUAUUCUGUAGCAAGGUUAACCGAAUAGGGGAGCCGAAGGGAAACCGAGUCUUAACUGGGCGUUAAGUUGCAGGGUAUAGACCCGAAACCCGGUGAUCUAGCCAUGGGCAGGUUGAAGGUUGGGUAACACUAACUGGAGGACCGAACCGACUAAUGUUGAAAAAUUAGCGGAUGACUUGUGGCUGGGGGUGAAAGGCCAAUCAAACCGGGAGAUAGCUGGUUCUCCCCGAAAGCUAUUUAGGUAGCGCCUCGUGAAUUCAUCUCCGGGGGUAGAGCACUGUUUCGGCAAGGGGGUCAUCCCGACUUACCAACCCGAUGCAAACUGCGAAUACCGGAGAAUGUUAUCACGGGAGACACACGGCGGGUGCUAACGUCCGUCGUGAAGAGGGAAACAACCCAGACCGCCAGCUAAGGUCCCAAAGUCAUGGUUAAGUGGGAAACGAUGUGGGAAGGCCCAGACAGCCAGGAUGUUGGCUUAGAAGCAGCCAUCAUUUAAAGAAAGCGUAAUAGCUCACUGGUCGAGUCGGCCUGCGCGGAAGAUGUAACGGGGCUAAACCAUGCACCGAAGCUGCGGCAGCGACGCUUAUGCGUUGUUGGGUAGGGGAGCGUUCUGUAAGCCUGUGAAGGUGUGCUGUGAGGCAUGCUGGAGGUAUCAGAAGUGCGAAUGCUGACAUAAGUAACGAUAAAGCGGGUGAAAAGCCCGCUCGCCGGAAGACCAAGGGUUCCUGUCCAACGUUAAUCGGGGCAGGGUGAGUCGACCCCUAAGGCGAGGCCGAAAGGCGUAGUCGAUGGGAAACAGGUUAAUAUUCCUGUACUUGGUGUUACUGCGAAGGGGGGACGGAGAAGGCUAUGUUGGCCGGGCGACGGUUGUCCCGGUUUAAGCGUGUAGGCUGGUUUUCCAGGCAAAUCCGGAAAAUCAAGGCUGAGGCGUGAUGACGAGGCACUACGGUGCUGAAGCAACAAAUGCCCUGCUUCCAGGAAAAGCCUCUAAGCAUCAGGUAACAUCAAAUCGUACCCCAAACCGACACAGGUGGUCAGGUAGAGAAUACCAAGGCGCUUGAGAGAACUCGGGUGAAGGAACUAGGCAAAAUGGUGCCGUAACUUCGGGAGAAGGCACGCUGAUAUGUAGGUGAAGUCCCUCGCGGAUGGAGCUGAAAUCAGUCGAAGAUACCAGCUGGCUGCAACUGUUUAUUAAAAACACAGCACUGUGCAAACACGAAAGUGGACGUAUACGGUGUGACGCCUGCCCGGUGCCGGAAGGUUAAUUGAUGGGGUCAGCGCAAGCGAAGCUCUUGAUCGAAGCCCCGGUAAACGGCGGCCGUAACUAUAACGGUCCUAAGGUAGCGAAAUUCCUUGUCGGGUAAGUUCCGACCUGCACGAAUGGCGUAAUGAUGGCCAGGCUGUCUCCACCCGAGACUCAGUGAAAUUGAACUCGCUGUGAAGAUGCAGUGUACCCGCGGCAAGACGGAAAGACCCCGUGAACCUUUACUAUAGCUUGACACUGAACAUUGAGCCUUGAUGUGUAGGAUAGGUGGGAGGCUUUGAAGUGUGGACGCCAGUCUGCAUGGAGCCGACCUUGAAAUACCACCCUUUAAUGUUUGAUGUUCUAACGUUGACCCGUAAUCCGGGUUGCGGACAGUGUCUGGUGGGUAGUUUGACUGGGGCGGUCUCCUCCUAAAGAGUAACGGAGGAGCACGAAGGUUGGCUAAUCCUGGUCGGACAUCAGGAGGUUAGUGCAAUGGCAUAAGCCAGCUUGACUGCGAGCGUGACGGCGCGAGCAGGUGCGAAAGCAGGUCAUAGUGAUCCGGUGGUUCUGAAUGGAAGGGCCAUCGCUCAACGGAUAAAAGGUACUCCGGGGAUAACAGGCUGAUACCGCCCAAGAGUUCAUAUCGACGGCGGUGUUUGGCACCUCGAUGUCGGCUCAUCACAUCCUGGGGCUGAAGUAGGUCCCAAGGGUAUGGCUGUUCGCCAUUUAAAGUGGUACGCGAGCUGGGUUUAGAACGUCGUGAGACAGUUCGGUCCCUAUCUGCCGUGGGCGCUGGAGAACUGAGGGGGGCUGCUCCUAGUACGAGAGGACCGGAGUGGACGCAUCACUGGUGUUCGGGUUGUCAUGCCAAUGGCACUGCCCGGUAGCUAAAUGCGGAAGAGAUAAGUGCUGAAAGCAUCUAAGCACGAAACUUGCCCCGAGAUGAGUUCUCCCUGACCCUUUAAGGGUCCUGAAGGAACGUUGAAGACGACGACGUUGAUAGGCCGGGUGUGUAAGCGCAGCGAUGCGUUGAGCUAACCGGUACUAAUGAACCGUGAGGCUUAACCUU
rnacentral:rRNA from 1 species